rnacentral:ncRNA from 1 species
CGACCAGGGUGACCUGACUCGUGCUCUGAGAAGUCAGCAGAGGUCAUUGUACCGAUCUGCCGCAAUCCAGCGGCAACGGAAAGGAC